rnacentral:tRNA from 1 species
GCGGAUGUGGUGGAACGGUAGACACGCAGGCCUCAGAAGCCUGUGGGAGCAAUCUCGUGAGGGUUCAAGUCCCUCCAUCCGCACCA